rnacentral:miRNA from 1 species
AGCAGACUUGACCUACAAUUA